UAUAUUUUAACGUAAAAAAAGGAAUUUCACAAGGAUGUCCACUUUCCCUUCUAUUUAUUAUAUGCAUCGUUCUGGGAAACUGGACUAAAUGCUUGUUUGUGAAGUCUUUUCCCAGAUUAGACUGUGCAAUUCGCACAAGCUAAAAGGGACGCUACUUACUGCCUAAACAUAAUUCGCGUUAAGAAGAGAAAUAAUGUAAUCAUCUCUGAUAUGUAAGUGCGGACAGCACAGGCUAAUAUGUGACGACAAUUGACGCGGAUGCUUUAAACCCUGUUUUCCCAGAGCAAGGCUCGUAUACGUAUUGCCCAUUAAAUUACAGUUAAUUGUUUAACUACAGCCCCCAGUGAUUACCUUACUACCCUCUACCGGAAGUUCCAUCAACGAUGGUUUGCAGGCGGCCGCGGCGACCAUCCAUACGUUCAACGUCACCGACAGCGACGACGUUGUCACGUGCUCCAUACGAGCGCCGGAAUCCACCUUUUUUGAAGUGCGUUCAGUAUCCGCGUGAAAGCAGGAGUGACGUUGGCUGCAGCUGUCAGUCCGUACGUCAUGAUCGUUGAUUGCACAGAUGCCGUAACCGCCGUCAGUUCAACGUUUACCCAGCCAGUCCUUGAUAAGCCGCCGACAUUUGUAUCUGGGAUUCCUGGGAAUUCCCCUGACGUCUCAGACGACAACGUGAUUGCGACGUCACUGGGAAAGUUCACAACUACGGACCCUGAUACCACGUGUUCUGUGACGUUACCUGUGACAACCGUUUAUGAGAUCAG